GAUGAAGAACGUAGCGAAAUGCGAUACUUGGUGUGAAUUGCAGAAUCCCGUGAACCAUCGAGUCUUUGAACGCAAGUUGCGCCCGAAGCCAUUAGGCCGAGGGCACGCCUGCCUGGGCGUCACACGUCGUUGCCCCCCCAUCUACUCCUUCGGGAUUGCGGGGGGCGGAUGAUGGCCUCCCGUGCGCCUCGUCGCGCGGUUGGCAUAAAUGCCAAGUCCUCGGCGACGCACGCCACGACAAUCGGUGGUUGCGAAACCUCGGUUGCCCGUCGUGUGCGGUCGUCGCGCAUCGAGGGCUCGAAAAAAUUGUCGGGCUCCGGCUCGGCUUUCAACGCGACCCCAGGUCAGGCGGGGUUACCCGCUGAAUUUAAGCAUAUCAAUAAGCGGAA
rnacentral:misc_RNA from 1 species